CCUACGGGCGGCAGCAGUGAGGAAUAUUGGUCAAUGGACGAGAGUCUGAACCAGCCAAGUAGCGUGAAGGAUGACUGCCCUAUGGGUUGUAAACUUCUUUUAUAUGGGAAUAAAAUGUUCCACGUGUGGGAUUUUGUAUGUACCAUAUGAAUAAGGAUCGGCUAACUCCGUGCCAGCAGCCGCGGUAAUACGGAGGAACCGAGCGUUAUCCGGAUUUAUUGGGUUUAAAGGGAGCGUAGGUGGAUUGUUAAGUCAGUUGUGAAAGUUUGCGGCUCAACCGUAAAAUUGCAGUUGAAACUGGCAGUCUUGAGUACGGUAGAGGUGGGCGGAAUUCGUGGUGUAGCGGUGAAAUGCUUAGAUAUCACGAAGAACUCCGAUUGCGAAGGCAGUUCACUGGACUGCAACUGACGCUGAGGCUCGAAAGUGUGGGUAUCAAACAGGAUUAGAUACCCCGGUAGUC
rnacentral:rRNA from 1 species